UACCUGCUUUAAUUUUUUUCUUGCCCAUCGGGGCCGCGGAUACCUGCUUAGAUUUUUUUUUUUUAAUCGCUCGAAAUUUUGUUGUUUUCUGUGGUUCGUUAUACUAUCUGGAAUGUCUACAAAUUUUUGCUGCUAAUCUUUGGUGUUGUGUGAGUGAACCUACAGCUUUGGCUGGGAGAUGACUGCAGUUAGGCUAAGGGGUUCGUUCGGCUGGGAGGAAAUAUGGCGGCAAUGGCGGCAAUGGCGGCUAUGGCGGCGGACGACUCGAGGUUUGCUUCGGAGCUCAGCUGAUGGUAGUUGGUUGUGCUUGGUAUAAAUUAGAGAGGCAAGAGGCCUGAGCUAAGUAUUUUGAAUGACCUAAUUUGCAUGCAUUGUGGUCUCCUGAGGUAGAAGAAUAGGAUUAUCCUGUGCCGCAUUACCGGAGGCUAGUUGAAAAUGAGAUGGAGAAGACUUAUAGGGAGGGGCCAAAAUGGCGGCUUGACUUUCGGUAUUGCUCAGCAUGGCUGUCUGCUUUGUUAGUGUCCAAGAUGGCGGGUCCAAUUUAGCGGGAGGCCACAUCAUGGUAGUGUCUUUGUUCUAAUGCACAGCAUGGCGUUGCAAAUAUUCUGUUACAUGGUGUAAGAUGGCGGCUCAAGGACCUGACGCAGUGUUAAACAUGGCGGACUCUUGUGUUUGCGGCAUUGCCGGACCAGUCAUGGCGGGCCGUUGUCUUCGCAGCAAGCAUUUCCGGACAGGUUUUGCCGCAGGGGCAUAUAAGGGCGGACUUGUCUUGUGGUUGAGGACAUCCUGGUGUUUGCGCGGGCUUUGCUCCUGGUGGGGCUGCCGCAUUGUUAAAUAUGGCGCACACUUCCGGCUUGCUGCAAAAAGUGAAAGGUGGGGUGAUCUUUGCCGCCUGCCCCACCCAAUCAGACGGGGUGGUACAAUUGGGUGCAGCCAAUUAAUGGAGUAUGGAAUUAGACCAAUCUAGCAUGGCUCCUGGCUGCCAUCUUUUCAGGAGGCAGAAGCUGAGGGGCCAUUUACAUAACAUCUGCUCCCAGUUGGCGGUGCUCAAGGUCUUUCCAAGGACAUUUGGCCUUUCCAGCUCCCUCCCCUCUAACCGGCUCCCUCCCCUUUUGCUCUCCCGCCCGGUGGGCCAGGCCAGGGCUCCAUGCCUGCCACGUGUAAAUAUGGCGGUGAGUUCAAUAUGGCGGUGAGUCGUGGCAAGGACCAAAAUUGAUCUUUGGCCAACAGGUGGCAGAAGAGGAAUCCCUCCCUUCUUCAAGAGGAACACCUACCCUGUGGCUAAUGCUGGGGUUGCCUGGCUGAGAAUCUCUCCUCUUUGUAUAUUGCUAUUCUACAGAGUCAAUUGCCAGGAUACAACCAUAAGUUACCGCUAUUUUUUUAUUAAGAAAGACAUCUGGAUUGCAAGGUGGAAUUGAUAAACUGGGCAUUAAACUUUUGAAGUUAAAAACCCAUUUAUACCAUGUACCUGAUGACCAGUGUCUCUCAUUUUACUAAGGGUGGUGGGUCUGUGGAUAGACCACUGUGACUCUUGCUAUACUAAAGGAGUUCGAGAAUGGAACUCUUAAGACCAGUAUCUUUGAGCUCUACCACCAUUCUAAAACUAUGCCAUUUGGGUUUUACCACCAUUCUCUUUUAGAAAAACUACCUAAAUUUCCUAAUCCUUAAAUUUCUUCAUCUGGAACACCAACCAGCCCCUACUUAUUUCAAGAAGAUAAUAACUGUAAAAGGAUGAAAUGAGACAACAUAUACUGAGGUGCUUUUGAAAACCAAAGUUCACCUUAUUUGAUUAAUCUAUUACAUAAUGAGGACUUAAAAAUGAUGGGACCUGUUUCCCUGUUUUAUAUCAAAAGAAUAGUAAGCUAAGAUCUAGCCAUUCUUCCGGAUAUAAACUUGUUUGACAGUGCGCUGCCUGGUAAAAAUGAUUAGCCUAGCCUCUAGUGUACAGGUUUUGGUGGCAGAGAAGUAUUUAAUAAGGAACUACUGAAGCAAAUAACUAGUCAUCACAACAGCAGUUCUUUGUAAUCACUGAAAAAGAAUACUAUUCCUCUAAGAAGGAUGUCAAAAGGUCAUCCCAGGUCAGGGUGCAGUUUAUACUUCCAGCUCCUUGGACAGCUGUAAGAAGAGUCUCUGGCUCGUUAGAAUUCUGGAUGAAUUCUGAGCCAGUUCUGAACCCCUACUUAGGAAUGAUGGGUCAAUUGUAGAUGGAUUGAAGUCUGCACUAGGAAGCAUCCAAAGGACAUUCUGGAUAGGUGAGACCUGAGGACUACAAGAAACUCUAAGAAGCUCCAUAUUCAGUACAUCUUUUCUUUUGAGAAUCUGGACAAGCUCCAACUAAUUGAAGGAUGGCUUGCAGACCACCUGAAGAAAAAGACCUUCCUUAGAAGAAUAGGCUUGUUGCUUUGCAGUGUUAGUGACCUAUUCCCUUUGACGAUCCCUAGGUGGAGAUGGGGCAUGAGGAUCCUCCAGGGGAAUAGCUCACUACCACUGGGCAACAACCCUAGGCCAGGAGGUUCUACCAAGAUUUUUUCCUGGGCCCAGAUAGGAAGGUGAAGUCUCAAGACAUCCUCCACACAUCAGAGCUCCUGAUGGUUCCCUUUAUAUCUACCAAAUCGUUCAUCCUUCUGAAUAGCAAUCCAGAGAGCAAGAAAUUUGAACACAACAAAGGAAGAUCAACAUGCCUGGCACUCUAGCAUUUUAGAAUAGCAGAAUAAACUGUUGUGCCCCUCACUAUAUCUUGUCUUUCUACUUCUAAAUGUCUGCCUGCCUUAUCUCUUUCACUCAUAAGUGUGUAUUUCUUUGCUUAUCUAUUUUUUCCUUGAAUGUCUUUGGUCUUUGUUCUCUCAAGUUUCUUACCCAAUUCCAUGAUCCUCUUGCUUGUUUCUUCUCUGUGUAUCUUUGUCUCGUUUUCUUUCUUGUUCAUAAGAGUUAUUUGUGCCUUGUCUUAGAUGGCUCUCGUUUUUUCAUUGUUACUAAUUGUCUUUGUUUUCCUAGCUCUUGCUCUUCUUUCACUGUUCUUCCCAUUGUGUCUCUGAGUCUCAUGCUGUAUGCUUUUUGCUCAUUCCUUGUCUUGUCCACCUCUUUUUUUCCUCUUUGUGAACUCUUGGUUGUUCAUCAUUCUCUCCCAUUUUGUUAGUUUGACAUUUUACCUUUUUCUGAUUCUGGCCUCUUUCUGCUGUUUCUACUCUUCAUCUUGGAUUUCUCUCUUCUACAUGUCCUUUCUGCCUCUCUUGGGCCAUUUUCUUUCCUUUUUCCUGCUCUAUGUGCCUCAGUGUCUCUUUGUUCUUUGUGUCUUUCCAUUUCACCUUUCUUUUCUCUGUUCUCUUGUUCUUUUGCUUUUUCCCUCCACCCACCUUUGGGUACUUCAGCCUCUUCAUGAGUCUGUGUCUUCCCCUUUGAUUUCUUGCAAUCCUCUCUCCAUGCAUUUUUUUUUGUAUAUGUGUAUGUGUACGUCCAUGUGCGCAUGUUUGUGACAAAGGGGUUUCCUAACCCCUUCCCAAUAGGUGCAGAGUAUCUACUAUCAAAAUAAGCAUUGCAGAGCUGUUCCUUAUGCCAGGCCGUCCUGUGAGAUAAAUCCAAAACUAGUAGAAGGCCCAAGGAUCCAAAGACCUAAGAUGUACAGAAGGUGGAAGGCCCAUAAUGGAUAUAAUUCCCAACACAGAAGACAGAAUUGAGACCUGUGGACUAAAGUAUAAAACCUGUGUCCCAAGAUAGAUGUAAACCUCAGCCUUGAGACCAUCAGAAGCCCUAGAGCCAUUAUGUACAUAAAGAAGGUGGCCCUUGUCAGAUAACUGAGUUGGAUGCAAGUCUUGUGUCUUGAGUUAGACAAAAGGCUGAAGACCCAGGAUGAAAGAACCAAGCCUAUGAGUGGGGAUACAUGGAAAGCCUGAGACCUGAGUCACAAGACCUGAUAUAAAAAAAACUUAGCUUGAAGACUUAAGACCCAAGGAUAUGAGGUGUCACACACACAUAAAGACCGAGGAGUCAAGCAUCUCUGUGUGGACUUGAAAGCCCAAGAGAGACUGAUAUCUUAAGACUAAAUUAAGCUGGAGUUCCAUAACCCUGAAUCUAGGAAGGCUGGAAACCCCAAGACCAGAGGAAAUCCCAAUAUGAGGACCCUAAAACUCUAUUCUGCUAUCCUCCCUACCCUUGGAUAUUUUCAGUUCUUCCUUUCCAGUUUUUAUAUCUCCAUUUAAGCCCACUAAUUUUGUGAUAUCCUUUUUGAUGUUGUUAUUACCUUGAGGAGAUAUCUUGAGAUUGGCAAUAUUAUGCCUGGGCCAGUGUAAGGUUCUUUUUAUUAUAGUUUUGAGUCAUUUAUUAAAAGUUUAUUUUUUUCACCUCCACUCCAUUUGAGAGAGACAUAUAAGUGAAAUUGUAUUUCAGUCCUCCCUUUUCCUCAGAAGCUCUAGGCUGAUGAGAAGAGGAAAGUGUCAGGCUAUGUAGAGAAAAUGUGAAGAGAUGCCUCAGGCCAAUGUGAACAUUUAGAUAGAAAAUACACAGAUGUGCCAGCCUGCUGAGAAGGAUCAGCCAGUAACAUGAUUUCUUUGAGCUUGAGUGAACAGGAUUCCUGGGGUUUGGGAUUCCUAGUGAUGGUUAGAAAAAAGAAUGAGUAGUCCUGGAACAGAGUGAUGCCCCAAGGAGAGACAGCCUGAACUUCCUGCUCAUAGUAGUGGCCUAAUAAGUUGGUAGACUACACCAACCCUGCCCUAGGUUUUAAUAUCAACCUCUGGGCUUAAAGAUGACAGAAUUUGGAAGCAAUUAGAUUUAAAUCUUUCCUUUUUCUCCCCCUUAUCAUGAGGAAAGCUAAUUUAAAUAACUGAGAUAUAUAUAUGAAAAUAAGGUGUUUUCAUUAAUAGUGUAUUGCCAGCUAUGCACAGCUAAUAUGUAUUAUAAGUACACUGUCAGUUUUGAAGCAUUUUGUACAUCAGGGAUCAUCACAUUCUUUCUGUAAAGGGGAAAAGGUGAAUAUUUUAGUCUUUGCAGGCCUAUGGUCUGUACAUUUCACUUCCCCCUACCGCCAAUCCUUUAAAAAGGAAAACUGUUCUUUCCUUGUUAACCAAGUAGAUUUGGUCUGUGGGCCAUAGUUACCCCUGAUGUAAAUGCUGAAUAAUAUUAAUUUCCUUGUGUGAGCCUGUCCCUGUUCUAGGCACUAAGGACUCAAUGAUUAUUUAUCAUCACAUCCAGGUGACCUAAAUAAAAAUGUGUGAAUAUGCUUUUAAACUAUGAAAGUGCUUAAAGACGUAUUAAGUUUCAGAGCUGAUAAAUAUUGAUUACAUAGCAACAGUAUGCAAUACUAUGUAGAUAAUAGGAAUUAAGUGAUUAAUCAAUGAAAAUUUCAUAUAUUUGUAGCCGUGUUUCUGCUGCUUUGGUGAUUUUGAGUAAAUACAGUAUUCUAAGUAGCAGAAAAGAAAACACAUAGAAACUGCUUUUAAACUGUAAAAUAUACAGCAAACAGAAGGGAUUAAGCUAUUUUGAUGACUUACAAUGGGCCAGAUAACUUGCUAAACACUACAGAUAACAGAAAAAAACAAUCUCAAUAUAGAAUUAAAAUUUUCAGAUAAGAAAUGCAUUUUAAAGUGGUUUGUAAACUAAAGUACUAAAUAUCAAUGAGCUAAAUGUUAUGAAUGAAUGAGUGAAUGAAUGAAUAUUAAUUGCCUUUUAUGUGCCAACUAUUGUUUUGGGUUCUGUGAAAUCUAAGGUAAAACUCCCAAGUAAUAAGAGGGAGGUUUAUAUUGUGCAUUAUUUAUAUGUAAGGAAAUUAGAUAAUGCUUAUUUUAAUCAAUCAAGACUUUACUGGUAAUAUCAAGUUAUUAUUACCAGAUAACAGGAAAAUGUAAUGAAUGAGACUGAGCUUUCUAAACUAUAAAGUGCUAUAUAAAUAUGACAUUAGGUAUUUUCUCUGUGAAUAAAAUUUUUCGUGAGAUAAACAUUCUUUAUAAAAUUCACCCACUAUGAGAGAGGCAGUAUAAAUAUGCAAACUUGAGGGUUUGAGUACUUGUUAAAUGAAAGCAUAUCAGUUGCCUACUAUGUGAACUCACUGUUACAGGCACUAAAGAGAUACACACAUUUAUAAUUUUAUUGUGCCUACAAUUGAGAAUAAGGCAAUAUGUUAGUAUAUGUUAGUAUUUUGUGAACUCUAAAGCACCAUAUAAAUGUCACUAUUGAUUUUUCUCACUUGGUGCAAAGUACUAUAAAAAUUUGGAAAUAUUUGAAGUAUUAACUAUUGAACAAUCUCAAUAUAAUAUGUAAAAGAUUAAAUUUAUGAUGAAUGCAAGACUGGGUAAUAAUUGUCUACUAUGCCAGUCUUUUUGCUAGACACCAAGGACCUGAAGAUAAAACAUCUUUAUUGUGUCCUUGAUAGCCAAACAUAAUGUAUGAAGUCAAUUUAUAAGUCUUGAACUGCCAUACAUAUGUAAGCAAUAUGUUUUAUGAAUAUUGAUUUUUUACUCUCAUCCCCAGAGAUAACAACUAGUGUUGCAAAAAUUCAUCACCCUUAUUAUUGAACCUGUAACAAAGGUCUAUGUGUAAAUUUAGAAAGCCUAGUGUUCUAUAUAGAUAUAAGGAAUUAACUGUUGGCUUAAUGAAUGAUGAAUGAUUACUUUUUAUGAGGCUUAAAACUACAUAUGCCCUAGUAUAUAAAUACAAUUUUAUCCUCAUGGGAUGCUUAUAGAAGGAAAUAAUGUAAUAGGUGUGAGCUCCAGACUAAAAAGUACUUAACUACUAUUAAGUUUAUUUAAUGAUAAAAACAUUGAGAAAAUAAACUGUGCAAAGCAGUAUGCUAAAUGCUGAGCUACAUGGAAAGAUACAAUCCAGACCAGAAAGCUACUUGCUCCCUCGCCUAAUUAAAGAGAUGGAAUUUUUUUUUUUAAAAAAAAGCAAGCUGCUCUUGUUCUCCAUCAGUUUUUUAAAUGCUGAAUGCUAAAGAUGGAGGUGAAUUAGCUCCACCUUGGCCUGGCUUAAAGAUAUUUAAGAAGUAAAAAUAAAGGGCUCAGCAGUGCUUUUAGAUUUCAUUUGAUAAGCACAGCAUAUUUUGUAUGCAAUAAAUCAUUCUAGGUCCUGAGCAUAAGAGCAGUGAAAUGGGCCUAGUCUAACGGUCUUUAGAUUGAACACAGAUCAUAGCUGCAGAUAUGAAAACAUCUUUGAUUUUUUAGUAAAUAUUUGAGUGCUUAUUAACUGGGAAGCACUAUGCUCAUUUAAUGAGUCGAGUAAGUAUGGCUCAGAAAUCCCAUUGACUCGCCUUGGAGAUUAAAGGGAAAAAAAAGUCAUGGUCCUUUUAAUAUAUUUUCCCUAGUUCUGGAUAGUCUCAACUUCACAUGCUCAGUGACCUAAAUUGAAGCCAGAAGACUGUUAAAAGGGCUCAGGAUUUGUCCUUUAAUUCAUUGAUUUAAGUUUCUGCUUCUAUUAUAGUUUAAGAUAAGAAUUAAGAUGAAACAACUGGUUUUAAAAAUAUUUGCUCAUUGGCCUAGCUUAGAAUCAGGAAGCCACAUGAGCAAUAAAAAUGAAUUUUUCUAUAAACAUUUAUUCACUCUGAAUAAAGUGCUGAGAGAAUUAAGAGAUUCCAAAGACCAAACUGCACUUUCAUGUCCUCUAGCUUAUGGUUGAAACACCAAGAACAAAUUUUAUCACUGCAGGUCUUUCAUUGAGCAGCUGUGAUAUUAAGACACUGAGAAGGAAUGAUUAAAUAGAUCACCUUCUCUUUGACAUGUUUUGUAGAGUGGGAAUGAGAGCUUCCUACUUACUCAUUCAUACAAACAUUGAAGAUGAUGCUAAAAGAAAUAGAUCUGGUACAAAUGGCAUUUUAUCUUAGAGCUGCAAUAAAAAACAAGGAAUGGGAUAAAACAUUAAACAGAAGUGUCUAUUUGCAAUGUGCUAAUUUCUAAACAGAAAACGAAAAGAUCUUAACUAAGACACUUGUUUUUAACUAGCUUGGAGACUAGAAUAUAAAAAAUUACUGUUCAUUCACUUUUUUUCAUUUAUUCAUUCAUUCUACAAGUAUAUUUGAGUGCCUAUUUUAUAUAAAGUACUUGUUAGGUUCUCACUUGGCCCAAGAGACAUGAGAAAUGUAUGCUUUCCCAGAGAAAUUUUAAAAACUUUGCUUUUGGGUUGUUUUCUUGUUAGGGGUUGACUUAGCCCCUGAGUAACAUUGUGUGGUUUAAUUCCUACUCCAUAUUUCUUCUAUCACUCUGGCCACUACAAUAAGCAGGGUUUUCCACUGAGAUAGCUCCUUAAGUUCCAGGAACCCUCUUUAUAAUAGACACUUCAUUUUCCUAGCUCAUGAAAAAUGAUUGGCCACUGUUGAAUAGAAGAAGGGAUGACAACUAAUUCCCAAACCACAGUGUCAAUCAUACCAGCCUUGGGGAACCAUGCAUACUCAAGCCACAAUUGGUUUUGAAACAUUUAACAGUUUUGUCUAUUUUCAAUUCUUUAUCCUUUACAUUCUGACAAAUAUACACUGCCUAACUAGAUCUAAGGAACAAUCCCCAGAUAGUACAUAGCAAGAUUGAAGAUGGAGAUAUGAUUUCUCUUUAACAACAGAUUUUGACUUAAACUUUAGAAAUCGCCUCUCAGUAUCAAAACCAUGUCAUGAAAGGACUUAUAUAUGGUAGAAUAUGGUCAGUGAAUGAAAGUGGCUUAACAAUUUAUCAUGCUUAAAUUUUAAGAGUAAUAAAAAUGAGAAAUAAUUGGCAAAAAUUUGAGGGAAAAAUUAAAAAAAAAAAUAACCCAAACCUCUAAAUCCAGGCCCCACUGGGCUUUGACCUUUUCUAUUUUUAAAUCACUCACAGAGGGUGGGAUAGGAGGAAGAGUGAAAGAAAAGGUCAAACCUGUUUCUAAGGGCAGCCUGCCUUUUUUUGGAUUGGUCUUAUGAACUCCAGGUCUAACUUGAGGAUUGCUUUGUCCUCGAUUCAUUUCUUUUUUUGGCUGAAUGAUGAUAUUAUCAACUAAGCCUUGGGUUACAUAAUGUGAUUUAUCAAUUAAAUCAAUUUGGCCUCCAUCAUAAAGUAGUGUUAAAACUAAAGGCUAAUUUCACUGUAAAGGAAGAGGACUUCAUAGUUCAUUGUAAUUUAUAAUACUUUAAAAGCAUAUAUACUUGAGUUUACAUGGCAAGCCAUUUAACAUGCAUAAAUGGAGAAGAAAAUGUGGAGGUAGCACAUUUGAGAAUUUGGGAUGAUUUUUCUGAUUUUUGCUUUGUACAUUUUAAUUUUGACAUCAGAUACAUCUGUAAUGUUUGACUUUUAAUAUGUGGUAUCAGCUGGACUCAGUAGCACUCUUUUCUUCAGUUGGGGGUGUAUUUUCAUAUUUGGAAAGUGCAAAGAAGAAAGUAGCUACAAGCCUGCCUUUUGCGGUUUCUGGCAUCCUGAGACUACCACUACUGAUAAAACAAGAAUAAGAGAACAUGCUACCAUCAUCUGUUUUUUGUGACAUAAAUAAAGUAGUAAACAAAUCCAUUUUUAUAAGAAUGUACUUAUCUCCACUCUUCAACCUCAAAGGGAAUAUAUGCCAAAAUGCUCCAUUAAAUGAAAGAAAUUCUUUGACUUGUGUACAGAUGUGAAAUGCAGAAUCUCAGCCUUGGGUGGUUUGAAGAUUGACAAAUCUUGCUCAGCAUAGGUGACAUCAAAAAGCAAUCUAAAGCCAUCACAUAACAACUGAGAUAAAUUGGGGAGUAUUUUUUCUAAUGUCAAAUAAAAGCUAAUGUUUUGAAA